rnacentral:rRNA from 1 species
UACGUAGGGGGCAAGCGUUAUCCGGAAUCAUUGGGCGUAAAGCGCGUGUAGGCGGUUCCGUAAGUCCGCUCUGAAAGCCCAGGGCUCAACCCUGGGAGGCGGGUGGAUACUACGGAACUGGAGUACGGAAGAGGAGAUUGGAAUUCCUGGGUGUAGCGGUGAAAUGCGCAGAUAUGUGGAGGAACACCAGUGGCGAAGGCGGCUUUCUGGUCUGUAACUGACGCUGAGGCGCGAAAGCGUGGGGAGCAAACAGG